UACGUAGGGUCCAAGCGUUAUCCGGAAUCACUGGGCGUAAAGCGUGCGUAGGUGGAUGUUUAAGUGAGAGGUUAAAUCGUGUGGCUCAACCAUAUCGAUGCCUCUCAUACUGGGCAUCUAGAGGACAGCAGAGGCAAGUGGAACUGGUAGUGUAGCAGUGAAAUGCGUAGAUAUUACCAAGAACACCAAAUGGCGAAGGCAGCUUGCUGGGCUACUCCUGACACUGAGGUACGAAAGCGUGGGGAGCGAACAGG
rnacentral:rRNA from 1 species